AUGAACGCUGGCGGCGUGCCUAAUACAUGCAAGUCGCGCGAACAGACGAGGAGCUUGCUCCUUCGACGUUAGCGGCGGACGGGUGAGUAACACGUAGGUAACCUACCUAUAAGACUGGGAUAACUUCGGGAAACCGGAGCUAAUACCGGAUAAUAUUUCGAACCGCCUGGUUCGAUAGUGAAAGAUGGCUUUGCUAUCACUUAUAGAUGGACCUGCGCCGUAUUAGCUAGUUGGUAAGGUAACGGCUUACCAAGGCAACGAUACGUAGCCGACCUGAGAGGGUGAUCGGCCACACUGGAACUGAGACACGGUCCAGACUCCUACGGGAGGCAGCAGUAGGGAAUCUUCCGCAAUGGGCGAAAGCCUGACGGAGCAACGCCGCGUGAGUGAUGAAGGUCUUCGGAUCGUAAAACUCUGUUAUUAGGGAAGAACAAACGUGUAAGUAACUGUGCACGUCUUGACGGUACCUAAUCAGAAAGCCACGGCUAACUACGUG
rnacentral:rRNA from 1 species